GACGAACGCUGGCGGCGUGCUUAACACAUGCAAGUCGAACGGAAAGGCCCUGCUUUUGUGGGGUGCUCGAGUGGCGAACGGGUGAGUAACACGUGAGUAACCUGCCCUUGACUUUGGGAUAACUUCAGGAAACUGGGGCUAAUACCGGAUAGGAGCUCCUGCUGCAUGGUGGGGGUUGGAAAGUUUCGGCGGUUGGGGAUGGACUCGCGGCUUAUCAGCUUGUUGGUGGGGUAGUGGCUUACCAAGGCUUUGACGGGUAGCCGGCCUGAGAGGGUGACCGGCCACAUGGGGAUGGAGAUCCGCCCCGCCCUCCUACGGGGGGCAGCGGGGGGGAUUAUUGCACAAUGGGCGGAGGCCUGAUGCAGCACCGCCGCGUGGGGGAUGACGGCUUUCGGUUUGUAACCCGUUUUCCCCGGGGCCGAAGCGGGGGUGACGGUAGUGGGUAAAGAAGCCCCGGCUAACUACGUC
rnacentral:rRNA from 1 species